AGACACUGCACGCAGGGUGAUGAGGUACGUCCGGUAAAAUCUCAGCCGGCAAACCCACUUCCGCUCUCAUAGGGUUGUCGCAAAAGUUUCGCUUAAGUAGCGGAAGAGAGGCGGGGCUAUCAGACGCUCCUCGAGCAAAACUCUUCUGCAGAGUGAUAAUGCUUCAAUCCGACGAUGACUAAGGUGAUGUUGCCUUGGACGGCAGGUGAGGUUUUGAGAGUGUCGUGAUUAAUGCUCUGUCAGGGGUUCAGGAGCGAAUGUGCUGAAGGCUGAAACAUCUGAUUUGCAUAUAUACUCCAAAUAAAAGCUGAGUGAACAUCAAACUCCUCUUUUCCCAUCUUGAUGUUAAAAGUUGUGAGGAGGCCUGGAGAGGGGACACUCUUUAGGCGUAGACUAUAAAGAUGUGCGCCGGUCCCUUAAGAGAGGCUGACUCAUCCAACGAGUGCACACGAGAGUCAUUUAUCGAUAAAUCCCAUGCACAAUUUGUAUUUUCACCAUGUCCCCGAACAAGAUGUCAGCU